rnacentral:tRNA from 1 species
CCUUCGAUAGCUCAGCUGGUAGAGCGGAGGACUGUAGACGGGAUCCGUGCGGACAUCCUUAGGUCGCUGGUUCGAUUCCGGCUCGAAGGA